rnacentral:rRNA from 1 species
GAUGAACGCUAGCGGCAGGCUUAAUACAUGCAAGUCGAACGGUAAGUGUAGUAGCAAUACGAUAUGAGAGUGACGUACGGGUGCGUAACACGUAUGCAACCUACCCAAAACAGGAGUAUAGCUCGGGGAAACUCGAAUUAACACUUCAUAGUAUCAUUGGAUGGCAUCAUUUGAUGAUUAAAACUACGGUGGUUUUGGAU